GCCUCCUCACUUCUCAUUGGUGGAGCAGACACGGCUGUCUCGGAUUGGCCCGCCCGCCAACGGAGGGGUGUGGCUUACGACUACGGGCGCGAAGGAGGGCCGUCUCCCGGCGUGACGCCGCCUGCGUGGAAUCGGGGACCCAGGGCGGCUUGCAUCAUUAAAAGAAGGUGUUUAAAGCUAACAUAGCAAGUGUACAAAUGCUGGAAAGGAUCAAACAGGUGCCACACUUUUAAAAGGACGUUCGUUACCCUGCUUAUUCACAUGAGGUCCUUUCCCUGCUUUUACAGAAUCUGCUGCUGACGGCGGAGUUCCUGCCAUGGCUGUCCCAGAGCCUCGCCCCAAUCACACAAUUUACAUUAACAAUCUCAAUGAGAAAAUAAAGAAAGAUGAGCUGAAGAAAUCUCUCUACGCCAUUUUCUCCCAGUUUGGGCAGAUCCUGGACAUCCUGGUGUCCCGCAGCCUGAAAAUGCGAGGCCAGGCCUUUGUCAUCUUCAAGGAGGUCAGCAGCGCCACCAACGCCCUGCGCUCCAUGCAGGGAUUCCCCUUUUAUGACAAGCCCAUGAGGAUCCAGUAUGCCAAAACAGACUCUGACAUCAUCGCCAAGAUGAAGGGCACAUUUGUGGAGCGGGACCGUAAGCGUGAGAAGCGGAAGCCCAAGGGCCAAGAGGUCUCGGCUGUGAAGAAGCAGAUUCCGGGGGCUGCGGCACCAGUGGCCCCUGCGGUCCAGGGUGCUGUUCCUGGCAUGCCACCCAUGAACCAAGCCCCUCGCAUGAUGCACCACAUGCCAGGCCAGCCUCCCUACAUGCCCCCUCCAGGGAUGAUGCCACCGCCCGGAAUGGCGCCUGGCUCCAUCCCUCCUGGGGCGAUGCCCCCGCAACAGAUGAUGCCAGGGCAGAUGGCGCCAGCUCAGCCGCUUUCAGAGAACCCUCCCAACCACAUCUUGUUCCUCACCAACCUGCCUGAGGAGACCAACGAACUGAUGCUGUCCAUGCUUUUCAAUCAGUUCCCCGGCUUCAAGGAGGUGCGGCUGGUGCCCGGUCGCCACGAUAUAGCCUUCGUGGAGUUUGACAAUGAGGUGCAGGCCGGAGCGGCCCGAGACGCCCUCCAGGGAUUCAAGAUCACACAGAACAACGCCAUGAAGAUCUCCUUUGCUAAGAAGUGAUGGCUGUCCCGGCUCUAGAUCCCUGGACGACUCGCCUUCUCUCCCCUUCUAGUUAGUGCCUAAAAUUAUGAGUGGAGUUUCUUGGUGUGUUUGUUCGUUUUGUUUUUUCCACAUUUUGUAUGGUGAGGUAAGUGGUUGUGUCAGGGGUAAUGAAAGAGAGCAUGAAUGUGUGAGAGAAUGUGAACCUCUAUGCUAGCUUCCAAUGCGUGGUGGAGAGACAGCAGCCGAUUCCUUCCAGAAGCAUUGUACCCAGGGUCUGACGGCCAGACAUUGCACCUGGAGCGUUUCUGUUUUCUAAUAAAAGCAGUUGGUUUAUUUUCCUUC